CGGCUAACUCCGUGCCAGCAGCCGCGGUAAUACGGAGGGGGUUAGCGUUGUUCGGAAUUACUGGGCGUAAAGCGUACGUAGGCGGAUUAGUCAGUCAGAGGUGAAAUCCCAGGGCUCAACCCUGGAACUGCCUUUGAUACUGCUAGUCUUGAGUUCGAGAGAGGUGAGUGGAAUUCCGAGUGUAGAGGUGAAAUUCGUAGAUAUUUGGAGGAACACCAGUGGCGAAGGCGGCUCACUGGCUCGAUACUGACGCUGAGGUACGAAAGUGUGGGGAGCAAACAGGAUUAGAUACCCUGGUAGUCCACACCGUAAACGAUGAAUGCCAGUCGUCGGGCAGUAUACUGUUCGGUGACACACCUAACGGAUUAAGCAUUCCGCCUGGGGAGUACGGUCGCAAGAUUAAAACUCAAAGGAAUU
rnacentral:rRNA from 1 species